CAGUAGCCGCGGUAAUACGAAGGGUGCAAGCGUUACUCGGAAUUACUGGGCGUAAAGCGUGCGUAGGUGGUGGUUUAAGUCCGUUGUGAAAGCCCUGGGCUCAACCUGGGAAUUGCAGUGGAUACUGGGUCACUAGAGUGUGGUAGAGGAUAGUGGAAUUUCCGGUGUAGCAGUGAAAUGCGUAGAGAUCGGAAGGAACAUCUGUGGCGAAGGCGACUAUCUGGGCCAACACUGACACUGAGGCACGGAAGCGUGGGGAGCAAACAGGAUUAGAUACCCCCGUAGUCCCUGUCUCUUAUAC
rnacentral:rRNA from 1 species